rnacentral:rRNA from 1 species
GACGAACGCUGGCGGCGUGCUUAACACAUGCAAGUCGUACGGUAAGGCCCUUUCGGGGGUCCACGAGUGGCGAACGGGUGAGUAACACGUGAGUAACCUGCCCACAACUUUGGGAUAACGCUAGGAAACUGGUGCUAAUACUGGAUAUGUGCUCCUGCUGCAUGGUGGGGGUUGGAAAGCUCCGGCGGUUGUGGAUGGACUCGCGGCCUAUCAGCUUGUUGGUGGGGUAGUGGCCUACCAAGGCGGCGACGGGUAGCCGGCCUGAGAGGGUGACCGGCCACAUUGGGACUGAGAUACGGCCCAGACUCCUACGGGAGACAGCAGUGGGGAAUAUUGCACAAUGGGCGCAAGCCUGAUGCAGCAACGCCGCGUGCGGGAUGACGGCCUUCGGGUUGUAAACCGCUUUCAGCAGGGACGAAGCUUUUUGUGACGGUACCUGCAGAAGAAGCACCGGCUAACUACGUG